rnacentral:rRNA from 1 species
CCUACGGGGCGCAGCAGUCGAGAAUCAUUCACAAUGGGGGAAACCCUGAUGGUGCGACGCCGCGUGGGGGAAUGAAGAUCUUCGGAUUUUAAACCCCUGUCAUGUGGGAGCAAAUUAAAAAGAUAGUACCACAAGAGGAAGAGACGGCUAACUCUGUGCCAGCAGCCGCGGUAAUACCGAGGUCUCAAGCGGUGUUCGGAAUCACUGGGCGUAAAGCGUGCGUAGGCUGUUUCGUAAGUCGUGUGUGAAAGGCGCGGGCUCAACCCGCGGACGGCACAUGAUACUGCGAGACUAGAGUAAUGGAGGGGGAACCGGAAUUCUCGGUGUAGCAGUGAAAUGCGUAGAUAUCGAGAGGAACACUCGUGGCGAAGGCGGGUUCCUGGACAUUAACUGACGCUGAGGCACGAAGGCCAGGGGAGCGAAAGGGAUUAGAUACCCUUGUAGUC